rnacentral:rRNA from 1 species
UCGGAAUUACUGGGCGUAAAGCGCGCGUAGGCGGAUCUGCAAGUCGGGGGUGAAAUCCCGAGGCUCAACCUCGGAACUGCCUUCGAUACUGCGGGUCUCGAGUCCGGGAGAGGUGAGUGGAAUUCCUAGUGUAGAGGUGAAAUUCGUAGAUAUUAGGAAGAACACCAGUGGCGAAGGCGGCUCACUGGCCCGGUACUGACGCUGAGGCGCGAAAGCGUGGGGAGCAAACAGG